GGUUCAAUGGUGUAGUUGGUUAUCACGUCUGUCUCACAGCAUCCGUUUGCUUAGAACACAGGAGGUCUCCAGUUCGAGCCUGGAUUGAACCA